rnacentral:rRNA from 1 species
GACGAACGCUGGCGGCGUGCUUAACACAUGCAAGUCGAACGGAAAGGCCCUGCUUUUGUGGGGUGCUCGAGUGGCGAACGGGUGAGUAACACGUGAGUAACCUGCUCUUGACUUUGGGAUAACUUCAGGAAACUGGGGCUAAUACCGGAUUGGAGCUCCUGCUGCAUGGUGGGGGUUGGAAAGUUUCGGCGGUUGGGGAUGGACUCGCGGCUUAUCAGCUUGUUGGUGGGGUAGUGGCUUACCAAGGCUUUGACGGGUAGCCGACCUGAGAGGGUGACCGGCAACAUUGGGACUGAGAUACGGCCCAGACUCCUGCGGGAGGCAGCAGUGGGGAAUAUUGCACAAUGGGCGGAAGCCUGAUGCAGCAACGCCGCGUGCGGGAUGACGGCCUUCGGGUUGUAAACCGCUUUCGCCUGUGACGAAGCGUGAGUGACGGUAAUGGGUAGAGAAGCACCGGCUAACUACGUG